UUCCCUACUCUAGCUGAUUGUUUCUUCCCUUUCUCUUUAUUCGCCUUCCUAACAGACCUCUUCCUUAGCUUUUCCCAUGUUGCUCUUCCUUCCCUUAUGUUCUUCCGCUAGACUCUUGCUUCAAGGGCAGCAGCUCCUUGCUAGUUCAUUCAUUCUUUCCCCGUUGCCUGCACAGUUUUCUUUGCACCUUUCCUAGGCUCAUGAAAAGUCUCCUGGUUACUUAAUGACCAACCAACGAUGACUCUACCCUUCAGUCUUUUCCCUCUUAGCCUCAUCUCCUGCCCUUAUCAUCCUCGUUAAUAGCUAAUUUGUACCAGGCCUUGAAUUGAUUGUUCUUCCUGCAUCAGCUCGUUUAAUUAUUACACUGAUCCUAUGUGGUGGGCAUGCUCAGUUAGUUCCAUUACUCGAGGAACUUAGGCUUGAACCAUCACACACCACAAGCCUGAACCCCAUGGUCAACCUGCCUGAAGCCCUGAUGACAGCCAGGAGUGAACCCUGGAUGAUCCGACAUCAAAGUUCGAACCACCACAGGCAUCGCCACCUUUUCUGGGUGAGGUUGCUCAUGAAAAGGGAUCCAACAAAAAUACAAGACUGCCACCUUUGCCUCCUCAUCCAGGACAGAGCAACUCUCCCUUUCCUUCUUGCAACAAAGGAGGCAAAACACACCCUCCCACCACCAUCCCUCAACUGAGCCAAGUGACGGAGACCGCAGAAAGAUCCUACCCACCUUGUGAGGGUGGAAGGAGAAGACAGCUGUCCCCGAGGAAGCCAGUCCUCACCAGACACUGGAUUCGCUGGUGUCCUGAUCUUGAGCUUCCCAGACUCCAGAACCAUGAAGAACACAUCACUGCUUGCCUGUAAGUCACUUGGUUUAUGGUAUUUUUUUAGUAGGAACCCCAAGACACUAAGACACUGCUGGGCUCUACUAGAGCUUGAGAAUGAGGACCCC
rnacentral:lncRNA from 1 species